GAUGAACGCUGGCGGCGUGCCUAAUACAUGCAAGUCGAGCGAACGGACGAGAAGCUUGCUUCUCUGAUGUUAGCGGCGGACGGGUGAGUAACACGUGGAUAACCUACCUAUAAGACUGGGAUAACUUCGGGAAACCGGAGCUAAUACCGGAUGAUAUUUUGAACCGCAUGGUUCAAAAGUGAAAGACGGUCUUGCUGUCACUUAUAGAUGGGUCCGCGCUGCAUUAGCUAGUUGGUAAGGUAACGGCUUACCAAGGCAACGAUGCAUAGCCGACCUGAGAGGGUGAUCGGCCACACUGGAACUGUGACACGGUCCAGACUCCUACGGGAGGCAGCAGUAGGGAAUCUUCCGCAAUGGGCGAAAGCCUGACGGAGCAACGCCGCGUGAGUGAUGAAGGUCUUCGGAUCGUAAAACUCUGUUAUUAGGGAAGAACAUAUGUGUAAGUAACUGUGCACAUCUUGACGGUACCUAAUCAGAAAGCCACGGCUAACUACGUG
rnacentral:rRNA from 1 species